UUGCUGUUGGUGUUGGACCGCCCUGGGCUUUGGAUGGAAAUCAGCAUGGCCGCGCUUCAGGGGUGGCCCACCCCGCCCCGGUCCCCCGGUGACACUGAAGCCACUGGCAGAGAUGCCCGCCAGUGGGACGGAGAUGACACUUGGAUCGGUGGCGGAAUUUGGCCGGGACUCCUUACUCUGAGCUCCAUUUAUUUAUGAGAGACACGGAGAGACAGAGAUGGGCUCCCUGCGGUGGGGGGGGGGGGGGGUCAGUGCAAUACUCAGUCCCAGGACCCAGGGAUCACGACCUGAGCCAAAGGCAGACGCUCAACCUCUGAGCCACCCACGUGUCCCUCUAAGCUCCAUUUUUAGGGACAGAAUAUUCCAAAAUGCCAUGCCCUGUACAUAAAAGAGAGACUUUUAUUUGUGAGGCUGUAAUUGAUCUUAAAUGCACCACCUCAGAUUUUCAUUCCAUUAAAUUUUGUGUAUCUUCCCUUCUCUUUUCCUGCUUCGAAAUCCAAAUUAAAGUACCUCGGACAGGUAUUUGGCGCUCCUCCCUCCCUUCUGUCUAUUUUGCAGCUCUUGAAGUGUGCGCGGCCCUUGGAGAGCGCUCCUCUCCCAUUUUAUUCAUGAUUCUUCAGGAGACAGAGAAAUCAGGUGUCUAUACUUAGAAGAUAAACCUACUGGCAGUACCAGGGAGAGAUCUGUUUUUCUUCAAUCUGAAUUGUUCAGUCUUCAUAUGGAGACCUUGGUAGAAACAAGGAGAAAUAAAACCUUUUGAUACCAUCCUCAACCUCAACUCUCUCUGGACUACUUGCUAUUAUGAGUGUGGUGUGUAACCUUCCAGAUCUCUUCCUGUCCACUUACUGUACAUAGUAUCUUGAAACAUGUAGUUUUUGCUGUUUUCUAAAUGAUGAAAUAUUACAUAAUUAGAUUGUUCGCAA